AAGGCAAUCCUGAGUAAAGUGGCGUACUGGUGAGUAACACGUGGAUAUCUACCUCUUGGUGGGGGAUAACCUGGGGAAACCUGGGCUAAUACCGCAUAAGUUCGUGAGAAGAAAGGCGCAAGUCGCCGAGAGAGGAGUCCGCGGUCGAUUAGGUAGUUGGCGGGGUAAAAGCCCGCCAAGCCGAAGAUCGAUAGCCGGCCUGAGAGGGCACACGGCCACACUGGCACUGAAACACGGGCCAG
rnacentral:rRNA from 1 species